GGUUGUUAAAACACAAAGAUAAACACGUGAGUGAGCGGAGGAGCGCUGUGACCAUGUGUAUACGCUCAUGCAUAUUACCGCUGUUUUCAACAACUUAUACCGCUGUGUGAAGUAGUCUGCCACUUGAUUAUUUUCGUGUCAUUUUGGGGAUGGUCAUGUUAUUCGAAAAACGUUCCCUAAAAAAAAUCAUGCUAUUAUGAAAAUGUGUUAAGCAGGAACAUGUGAAACGAGUAAUUACUGUCUAGCCCUUGCCCACAGCUGUUUCUAAUAGCCCUUCAGGCCUGGGCUUGCUCAGCUGUGGCCAUCAACCUUUUCAGCCAGGCCACAGUGGCAGAGCUCUGGCCUAGCCAGCCAUCUGUCACAGUGCCAGAAUGAUGAAUCCACUAAAAACAUGUUUGAUUUUCAACAGGUGCAAGCCAUCUCUUCAGGAGUGUCCCUGCCAUUCUGGCAGAGCAAUAUAAAGGGAAGUGGGACAAGCAAGAUGGUGUUGAUGGAAACCAAAGAAUUAAUAAUAUACAAAGGAUUGGAAAACUGAAAUUGUUGAACAUGAGACAAUGUGGUGGCCACAACUGUGGACCACUCAUCUUAAAGUUGCAGCCCUCACGUCACCACAGAACCAAGCUGGCUUUUAACCAAACCUGUCCUCCUCUUUGAUUGUGGAAUACUUGCUUUUGGGCCAUUACUACACUCUUCUCCAGCAGUGCCCAAUUUCAUUCACAUUCCUGUUUCCUCUCCCAACCAAUUAUACUCCAUUGUCAUCACCGCUAUGGAAUCAGCCCUCAAAGCACCAAGCAUAUGACAUGCUAAAUCGGUUUUAUUUGACCAUGAUGGCUGGUCCCUCAGCGCCCAGCAGAUGCCUGCCUAGUGAUUAAUUCAGCUCUCAGAAUGAAGUCCAAACUAGUUACCUCACUUCAGGAGUAAUAAUUUGUUAAAUUACCAUCUAUAAUUUUUAGAAACCUUAAAUGAUGAUUUUACUACUGGCUACAAGAGAGCUCUAAGCAUGUGUCACCCAAACAGAAGUCAAUGCAUUAUAGACAGAUGCUUACAGAGCAAGUCCUGUUCUCUGGUUUGACUCAGUGAUCAGUAGUGCCACCAGUGUUCCCCUAAAGUUAACUAUACAUGGAGCCCUAAGCCUCUGACUGGGCAGGGCUGAUUAAUCCUGUGAAGCUGUGCCUCCCUGAAGUUUAGAGGGAACACUGCUGCCACUACCCCCAUUUGGGCUUUGUUAAUUAGUAGAUUAAACCAUCUGCACUUACGUCUGUGAUUUGGAGUUAUCAGGAAUGCUAAAACAGAUAAUGGUGUCUAAAGUAGACUGCCAUGGUCCCUACCCUUCCUAUACAGGUUGUAACUACGCUCAAAGAGGGAGCUGUAUUACUUUGUUUCAGCACAAACAAUUAGGAGUCUGGUGGCACCUUAGAGACAAAUAUCUAUUUGCGCAGAAGCUUUUUUGGGCUGCUUUGUCAGCAGCCUCUGGCAAAAUGGGUUCCAGCCCACAAAAGCUUAUGCCCAAAGAAAUGUGCUAGUCUUUAGGGUACCACAGGACUCCAGGAUGUAACCAAGGUUCCCUCAGCUGCUUAAUGAACUCCACCCAGCCAGGGCUCCACCCAUGGAGCUGCCUGGCUGGGGGAGGGGCACUUCUCCCUCAGCAACAGCAGCAGCUCCCCGAGCCUGUGGCUGGGCAGUGCUCAUUAAGCAGCUGUGGAAACAUGCUGCUGUGCAGUUUAGAGGGAACUUUGACAGUAACUAGGGAUUUUAGCAUUCUAAACAUGCAAAUCAGUACUCCUAAGUGCAGAGCUUUGCAUGUGUCCUUAUUAAACUUCAUCCUAUUUACCUCAGUCCAUUUCUCCAGAUCACUUUCAAUUAUGACCCUAUCCUCCAAAGCACGUGCAACC